GGCGGACGGGUGAGGAACGCGUAGGAACCUACCUAGUAGUUUGGGAUAGCCCAGAGAAAUUUGGAUUAAUACCGGAUACGCCCUACGGGGGAAAGUGGAGGAUCUUCGGACUUCACGCUAUUAGAUGGGCCUGCGUAAGAUUAGCUAGUUGGUGAGGUAAUGGCUCACCAAGGCGACGAUCUUUAGCUGGUUUGAGAGGAUGAUCAGCCACACUGGGACUGAGACACGGCCCAGACUCCUACGGGAGGCAGCAGUGGGGAAUAUUGCACAAUGGGCGCAAGCCUGAUGCAGCCAUGCCGCGUGUGUGAAGAAGGCCUUCGGGUUGUAAAGCACUUUCAGCGAGGAGGAAAGGUUGGUAGUUAAUAACUGCCAGCUGUGACGUUACUCGCAGAAGAAGGACCGGCUAACUCCGUGCCAGCAGCCGCGGUAAUACGGAGGGUCCGAGCGUUAAUCGGAAUUACUGGGCGUAAAGCGCGCGUAGGUGGUUUGUUAAGUUGGAUGUGAAAGCCCAGGGCUCAACCUUGGAACUGCACCCAAAACUGGCAGACUAGAGUACAGCAGAGGAUAGUGGAAUUUCAGGUGUAGCGGUGAAAUGCGUAGAUAUCUGAAGGAACAUCAGUGGCGAAGGCGACUGUCUGGGCUGAUACUGACACUGAGGUGCGAAAGCGUGGGGAGCAAACGGGAUUAGAUACCCCGGUAGUCCACGCCGUAAACGAUGUCUACUAGCCGUUGGGGGACUUGAUCCCUUAGUGGCGCAGCUAACGCACUAAGUAGACCGCCUGGGGAGUACGGUCGCAAGAUUAAAACUCAAAUGAAUUGACGGGGGCCCGCACAAGCGGUGGAGCAUGUGGUUUAAUUCGACGCAACGCGAAGAACCUUACCUACUCUUGACAUCCAGAGAACUCGCUAGAGAUAGCUUGGUGCCUUCGGGAACUCUGAGACAGGUGCUGCAUGGCUGUCGUCAGCUCGUGUUGUGAAAUGUUGGGUUAAGUCCCGUAACGAGCGCAACCCUUGUCCUUAUUUGCCAGCACGUAAUGGUGGGAACUCUAAGGAGACUGCCGGUGACAAACCGGAGGAAGGUGGGGACGACGUCAAGUCAUCAUGGCCCUUACGAGUAGGGCUACACACGUGCUACAAUGGCCGGUACAGAGGGCUGCAAACCUGCGAAGGUAAGCUAAUCUCACAAAACCGGUCGUAGUCCGGAUCGGAGUCUGCAACUCGACUCCGUGAAGUCGGAAUCGCUAGUAAUCGUGGAUCAGAAUGCCACGGUGAAUACGUUCCCGGGCCUUGUACACACCGCCCGUCACACCAUGGGAGUGGGUUGCACCAGAAGUAGCUAGACUAACCUUCGGGAGGUCGGUUACCACGGUGUGAUUCAUGACUGGGGUGAAGUCGGAACAAGGUA
rnacentral:rRNA from 1 species